AUUUUAUUUUUCUAAUAUUGUUCUGAUAAAAUAUAUUACUUUUUGCAUUAUUAAUUAAUUUAUACCAUUAAUAAAUUUUAUUAAUUUGUGUUGCAUUAUCAAACUCAAGAACUAUAAUUAAGGAUGGGUUGAUAGCUUGUGAACUUACACCAAAACAAGCACAAGCUAUCUCCAAGAAGAUCAACUUAGAACUCCAGCUUGAUAAAUUUUUAUCAUAUAAAGACUCAAUGGUCAAAGUUGAACAUGGCAAAUGGCAUAGGCCAGUUGCUUCUUCAAAAGAAAGGAAAAUGCUCAAAAAAAUUCUUUUGACAAUAAGACAUCAAAAGAGCACAAAGCAUCUUAUGAUAAACUUGUAGGAAAAUUUAAAAUUAUUUCAAAAGUUGAACUUACUUAUCCAACAAAAAUAAAAUAAUUUUUUUUUUACCUUGCUGCACACAUACAUAGGGGAUUUCCCCUAGUUUACCCUUUUGGGGAGUAGUGAUCUCAGCAAUAGGACACAAUUCUUUAGUUAUACAAGUAAAUAAUAAUUAAUAAAUGAGUCAUAAUGAAUAGUAAAAACUAGAGGGUAAAAUCAGCAUACAAAGUGGGUAUAAGAUGUGGAAUUCAUGCUUAGAUGGAAUGAAAAUGGUUUUGCCACAAUGAGAUCACAACACCACCAUCAGUAUGAAAACCAAGAUUAAAAUCUAAGCUUUGAUUUCAUGUUCUCAAAUGGAGUUUCUUCAAUUCCUUGUUAUGAAAAUAAUCAACUCAACUACUUAACUAAGCUUUAAUCCCAAAUUAGCUAGGUUCAGCUAUAUGAAUAUGUUUCCUUCAUUCCACCUGGUUUAUGGGUACAUCUUUAGAAAAAGCUAGGGCUGCCAAGUCCUUUCUUAAUAUUUCUCCUCACAUCAAAUUAGGUCUACAUAUUUGGCAAAAAGAUUAAAAAGGGAAAGUUUAAAAAGGGAAUAUGUAAUAUUCCCUUUUUAAGAAAAGAGCAAAGUUUAAAAAGGGAAAAAAAAAUCAUUUGGCAAAAAGAUUAACAGAGUGCCAUAUUUUUUAGCAAUUUGAAUAAAUUAUACAAUUCCACAAAUGCCAGCAAUAUCCAAUCUCUAGCAGUCCAUCUGUAACAAGCAUAAA
rnacentral:misc_RNA from 1 species